rnacentral:rRNA from 1 species
UACGUAGGGUGCAAGCGUUGUCCGGAAUUAUUGGGCGUAAAGGGCUCGUAGGCGGUCUGUCGCGUCGGGAGUGAAGACACCGGGCUUAACUCGGUGCUUGCUUUCGAUACGGGCAGACUAGAGGCAUGCAGGGGAGAACGGAAUUCCUGGUGUAGCGGUGAAAUGCGCAGAUAUCAGGAGGAACACCGGUGGCGAAGGCGGUUCUCUGGGCAUGUCCUGACGCUGAGGAGCGAAAGUGUGGGGAGCGAACAGG